rnacentral:lncRNA from 1 species
UUUACUCAAAACACACUAACCCUUAGUGAUCAAUUGAUUUCUUGGUUUUACGGUGGGUAUUAUCUAGUUAGUUUUAGUAUAUAUUAUAAGAUAAUGUUUGAUUACUAUAUAUAUAGUAUAACUUCCUUCCGUAUAAAACUGUCAAUUUGUAGAUCUAUCUACUCAAAUUAUAUGUAUUUAUAUAAAUUAAUAGGAUCUAUGGGUUGAUUCAAUAAUUAAUGAGGUUACAUAUAUAGUGGAUAAGACGCAUUUAUUACCCCUUUAAUAAAUGCUGAAAUAGCAAACCCAUACACCAUAUCUAUAUUAAUUUUUUCAAGAUCAUCAGAAACUGUGUUCUAGAAAUCAGAUUUGAUAAAAGGAAUUUGUUUUUGUAACUGUAUCCAUGUCUGUGCAUGUUUUAAAAGUCUAUUUUAUUUGAAAAAAUUUUAAAUUAAUAAUUUUUUAAUAUUUAUAAAAGAAAAUUAAUAUUGUCAUAACCCAAUUUUUGACCCUUUUAUUUUAAUUUUUAUUAUUAUUUUAUUUACUGAGAAAUAAUGAAAAAAAAUAAUGAAAAAAUGAUGAUGUAAAAUAAGUAAAAAUGAAAUAAUGAAGAAUGAAUUAAAAUUUGGGUUAAGGCCAACAUGUUUGGAAGUUUAGAGAUUAAUUAAACUCUUGACUAGUUUAAUUAAUUAAAUCAAGGGCUUAAUUAAAAAAUUGAUAAAUUUUUAGACUUAAUUGAACUUGGAAUUAAUUUAAUUAAUGGAAUCAAGGACUUAAUUGAAGAAAUAUCAAAGUUUGGGGUUUAAUUGGGGUCCAAAUUACAGCAGAUUAAAGUCCAAGGACUAUCUUGUAAAAGGCACCUAAAUUAAGGGGUCUAAUUACAAUUUAACUAGGGGCUUAAUUACAAAAAUUUCAAAACCGCAAGGACCAAAUUGAAAUUAGCGGUUGAAUGGAAAACGGAGCCGUUUCUUGGACGACUGUUCACUGUCUUCUUCCUCCGUUUCAUCCGUUGGCAGCCAACGCGUACGUUUCUUCAUUGAAGGCGUCGGUUACAGAGCAUUUAGGAGGCCGGCCGUUACCACCACCGGGGCUGUCUCUGGCCUUAUAAAAGCUGGGCAAAGGCAACCUCGCGCAGGGGGAGAAAACUGGAAAAAAAAAAGAGCAGAACCGAGGAGAGGAAGAAGAAAACAGGGGAGGCACUGGACUGGGGAAACAGGGAAGACCACGAACAGAAAACAGAGAGGGGGAGGAAGAAAAAAAAAAGGGCUUGAAACCCAGGAGACACAAAGAACAAACACAGACGAAGGAAGAAGAAAACAAAGAGGGGGAACCGGCAGGAGAGAGAGAGAGUGACCGAGAACGGGGGGGGGGGGGGGGCGAGACCAAGAGAAAAACAGGGCGAACCAACACAGAAACAGGGAAGCAAAACACACACAAAAAAACAGAGAAGAAACCAGAGGAACAAGCAAACACAGACAGAACAAAAAGAGAAGAACGAAUUCGCAGAAUAACAAGAACGAAGAAGGGCGAAGGAGAAAGGCGCUCAGCAGACCAGGUCAGUAACCUUUUCUUCUUGCAUUAUUUCGUUUGAUUAGCAUUUGCACUGUGCAAGUGAAUUUUAAUUCACUUGUGUAUCAACACGCGUGUUGCUAAGCCGAGCCAAAAAAUAAAAAUAUAUAUACAAAAAUGAAAAUUUUGCAUGUCUUAGAAAAAAUAUAUUGUAAAAAUUUAUUCACUGACACGAGGAUUAAGAAUAAAAAAGAUAUACUAAUUUUUUUUAGCUGGAAAUUUUACUAAUAUCAGAAUUAGAAUUAUUCGUAAUAAAAUAUUUACCGACGCUAUAGUUGGAAGUAUUCGAGAUCAAAUAUUCACUGGCGUCAGAGUCAGGAAUAUUAUAAACAAAACAUUAUAGCAUAAGCUAAUAAAUAUUUAGCAAUUUAAGACAAAACCAGCAAUGCAGUCUGCCUCAGGCAGAACGUUUAAGGAGUGAUAAUAUCUUUCCUUUUACAUAACUAGUUCCGUACCAUAGAAUUUUUAUUGACCAGUUAGGGUUUCUAGUGACCAUAAUACUAAGUGACGACUCCUUAAACAAGACUUUUUUCCUAAAAAAAUAAGAUGUCAGAUAUUUUUUUUUAUAAUCAAAAUUAUUUUUAAGGUCGCUGUGAUGUCGGGUGCGACAAAUAUAUUUUUUUUAAAUGUAUUUGAAAAGUCUGUAAUCAUUUGGCAUUAUAAUAUAUAGUAAUCGAUCGACGCAUCUUUUCAUCACUACUCUACCCUUUUUUAUUUGAGUUAGGUAAUGCCCGGGCCCGUGGUAUGGUGCCCAUGAGGCUUUUUAUUUUUGGUAGAACUCGUGGAUAAGUGGAACCAAAAAAGUAGAAUAAAAUAAUGAAAUUUAAUUUUAAAGUAAAGUUUUUCAUGAAAAUGAUUGAAAUACGCUUCUAACAAUAAUUAAUUACGAGAUGUCAAGUCUGCACCAUACCACGGGCUUGUGGUAUGCUUGUACGUUGUCGUGAGUUUGUGAAAAAUAUCAUAAAAAAAAUAAAAAAAAAUCAUAUGGAGAAAAAUUGUUGCAAUCCAUAGUGUUUUCAAGAAAAAAACUACAAGGUUAAAAUUCUUAACUAAUUUAAUAUUAAAAAAAAGAUAAAGAGUCCGUUUGUCUACGCGGUUACGACUACGGUUAAAAUAAAACGCAGCAAAUAUAUGUUUGGUUACAAAAAAAACAUUGUUUGCUAUUCAUGGGUCCCACCUUUUACUGCGUUACAAACUCAGUAAUCGCGAAGUAGCAGGAGGCUGCUUUUGUUUCAACAGUAAACAAUGGGCAACACAUAUUUACGCACUGUGCAUGCUAAUUAAUUAGCAUGCACAGUGUAACUUGCAUACACUGUACACUGUAUGCAUGUUACACUGUACAUGCUAAUUAAUUCGCAUGAACAGUGUAACAUGCAUACAGUUCCGGUUGGACCGGUUCCCGCCAAACCGGUUCCGGUUCAAAGUUUAAAAUACAUUGAAUCAGGUUCAACCCAGUAAAAUAAAAAUUAUUUUUAAUUUUUUAAUUUUUUUUUAUUCGAAAAACUAGUGUUUAACAUUAUUUAAUGAAACUACAUAAAUUAGACAGAGAUCGCUUGAUAAAGUAGCAUUUGCAGAAUUUGAUCGCAAUCCUAAUUUCGUUCUUGAUUAUAUUUUACCUGAUGUUAUUGCGCGCUUAAAAAAUCAAAAAAAUUGUAGUCCUUGUCGGAUGUAUUUCAUACGUGAUGGAAUUGUAGAUAUUUUAAUGGAACAAUAAAAAAUAUUUUAUAUAAAGUAUUAUUUAUUUCAUGAUGUAAUAACAAAAGUUAAAUCUAUAAUAUUUAAAUUAAAAACUAUCAAUAUUAAUAUAUAUUUUUUAAAAUUAUUUUAUAACCUCAAUUUCAAAAGCAUUCUUAACCAAACACAUUAAACUACUUUUUCUUCAACCUCAAUUUCAACCACAGUUUUAACCAAACACCUAUUUUUUCAAACCAAUCUCAACCAAAAGUAUUUUUUAUAAAACAACUUUUUUCAAACCACAACCACAACAGCUACCGCAAUACCAAACACACUCAAAAUCAACAAAGAUAAUUUUGUAAAAACUCAUAACAAAAAAAACGAAAGAAAAAAAAAACCUUGCAGGGAAACACUAUAGUAAUCUAUAGUGUUUCAUGAGGAAAUAUAUAGUUGUAAUUCUCAACCAGCUCAAUAUUGAAAAUAUUAAAAUCAAUAAAGAUAAUUUUAAAAAAAAAUCAUAAUAAAAAAAUCAUGUGGGGGGAACAUUGUAACAAUCCACAGUGUUUUAAAAAAAAAAACUACAAAGCUAAAUUCUCAACCAGCUCAAUAUAUAUAUAAAAAAAUCGACAAAGACAAUUCUGGAAAAAAAAACAAAAAAAUCAUAAAAAAAAAACUAUGUGGGGAAACACUAUAGCAAUUCACAGUGUUUUAAAGAAAAAACUACAAAACUAAAUUCUUAAUCAGCUCAAUAUUAAAAAAAAUAAAAUCGAUAAAAAACAAUUCUAAAAAAAAAGCAAAAAAAAUAAAUAAAAAAGAUAAUUUUGAAAAUAAAAAGCAAAAAAAUAGGAAAUAAAACAUGUGGGGAAAGUUAAAGCUAAAUUCUUAACCAGCUCAAUAUUAAAAAAAAAAUUCAACAAAGAUAAUUUAGAAAAAAAACAUGUGGGGAAACACUGUAGCAAAACAAAAAUAAUAUUGGGAAACAUUGUAGCAACCCAUAGUGUUUUUUUUAGAAAAACUACGAAGCAAAAUUCUCAACCAACUCAGUAUGAAAAAAAUAAAAUCGACAAAGACCGUUUUGGAAAAAAAAAUUCCUUUAAAAAAAAGAAAAAAAAAUCAUGUUGCGAAACAUUAUAGCAAUACAUAAUAUUUUAAAUAAAAAAACUACAAAACUAAAUUCUUAACCAGUUCAAUAUUAAAAAAAAUCGAUAAAGAUAAUUUUAAAAAAAUACAAAAAAAAAAAACAAAAAAACAAAAAAAAGAAGAUAAUCUUGGGAGAAAAAGAAAAAAAAACAUGUAAAAAAAAAAAAAAAAAGCUACAUACUUUCCCACGCAUUUUAAAGUAUUACUUAAUAAUUAGAUAUUGAUUAAAAACAGGCAUCUAAAAUAUAAAUAUGCUAUCAUAUCGAGAGAGGAAUCUUUUCACAAUGAGUGUACAUGUUCGUUUGAAUCCAAAAAAUCUAAAAUAUAAUACAAAAAGUAACAAAGAAGAAGAGAAUGGCCAUUCAUUAAUAGGAUCUGCCAUGUAGAACCUCAAUCUUAACACGAUCCUUCUUACAAAGUACACAACAUUAAAUAAAUAAUCGUGAAUAUUUAAUGAAGAUUAAUGACAGCCGUAGGUAGUAAUUAAGUAGUCGUUGGUCAACAACAAAGCUACAGUCCCAAUCUAGCUGGAUGUGACUCCACAAAGCAGAUUAAAAUUUAAGAACCUUCAAUAUUGUAUACUAUCUCCCCUAAAAAAUAGAUAAUAUUUUUAUAUUAAUUUUGGUUUUAAGUAAACAAUAUAGAGUAUGUGAUAAAAUCAUAGCAGUUCAUUUUUAAUUUAAAAAUUAAGAGUUCCUUCAACAUAUGAGGAUCCAAUAUUUCAAAAUCCAAAUAACCAUUAUAGUUGUUAUAGUUAGAUAAUGUUUGUUUUUGUAUUUAGAAUUGUGCUUGAAUAUGUUUUAAAAGUGUGUUUUGAUUUGAAAACAUGUUAAAUUAUUUUUUUAAAUAUUUUUUAAUUGCUUUGAUAUGCUAGUAUUAAAAAUAAAAAAAAUUAUUUUUAUGUAUUUUCAACUAUAAAAUAAUUUUUAAAAAUAUCACAUAUCAUAAUUCAAUAAUGAAUAUAUAUUUAAACAUCGGUAACAUCCAAAACUACAGACCAACACGAAUUAGGAAAAUAUAUAUUCAUUAAGGAUCACUAAUUUGCAUACAAAAGGACUCAUUAAAUCGACUCUCCUUGGCACACUCUUUAUCGCCCACUUGUUAAUUUCCACUUCCAUCAUCGAUAUGAUCCCUGAAAUUUAUAUAUAAAUUAAAGAAACAAAAACAUGGUUAGUCUAUGUUUGUUUGAUAAUGGUGUGCGGAGUGUUUUUUAAUUAAAAAUAUAUUAAAAUAAUAGUUUUUAGAUUAUUUUUAGUUUUUAAUAUAUAUCUACACAUUAAACCAUACAAAAAAAAACAUUAAUUUAAUAUUUUUUUAAGUGAAAAAUAGUUUAACAAGCAAAUUAAAUAAAAACAAACACUAGUUAAAUCCAAACCUAGCAAGAGAUCACAAGAUCAUCAAAAAUUAAAAAAAAAAGAAAAAUUAAUUAUAAAACAAAACUCAAAUAUUUUGUAAUUGAUAGAAGGUAAAAGAAGACGUAAGGGAGGCGAUUUCUAUUAAAGAGCGAAGAAAAGAUGAAAUAAACACCUCUCUUUCUAUGUAGUUUGUACUUUUUCUAUAAAGAAAAAUAUUAAUGUGGUAAAAACACAACCAUUUAACAUCAUUUAAACACCAUCUAAUGACAAACCGCAUGAUUUGAAAGAAGAAGAUUAUCAAAAAGUAAAAAAAAAAAAGACAAAAAAUAUUUUGUUUUCAGAAACAUACAUACCAUGCAUGUGUGUGCUGAUGGAUGAUAUAUAUGAAACAUGCAUCACUUAGGAGGUUUGCAGUGGCCUGCUCCGGGCAGGUAACUACAAGGAUUAGGGCCUGAUGGCUGAACGUGACGGUUACUUUGUUUUGAAUACAUGCUGCUUGCUCGGAAUUUUGAUUGCUUGGCUGCAAUCACAAGAGUAACAGCAAGGAUGAUC